GGUUUUGUUAAAAGCUUUUGACUCUUUAUUGCCCCUUGAGACGCAACCCUGGCUCCAGUGCCUCUGUUGCGCAGUAAGUCGGCAGAAAGUAACGGGCUCUCGAUAGCUCAAAUCCACUAUUAAGUGGGCUUUGGGUAUGGAACCGGGCCAGAUACUUACUGUCAAUCUACCAUGAAGACGUCAAGGAUUCCACUUUGAUGGUUCAGACACACCUGUGGAGCAGCAGCGGCUUGACUUCAGGAAGGUGACUACUCAGUGUGCCUCAGGGUUGGAGACGAUAUUAUUUCCAGGAGCUCUCAUGAUCCCUCACCACCUCUCUUCAUGUCUUGAUUUCCUGUUCGAGCAUUUCAUCCGCCUUACUUCCAUUAGUUUGUUUUGUCUUUUGCUUAACUGAUGAAGACAUUGUUUUUUCAGUUGUAUUUUUUAUUUUGAUUACGUGCAUAUGCAGCGUAAUGUCCUCGUUGUGCAUAAUCACAUAUGAAAGAUUACUUUGGCAAUUGCAUUUGUGGUGAGUGCUAUAUCAGUUUUCCCACAAUCAAAUCACUCUGAUGAUCAUAUGAUAAAGGAAAGUGUUUGUCUGUGUCGAUCCAUUCCCUAGGAAAUGGUGAUUUCCUUUCCUGUUCACUCACAUUUACAAACUGAAAAUAUGUAAUGGGAGCUUUUACUUGACUAUUCAGCUGGUGUCGAAUUUGACAUGCUUGAAACAGAAAAUGUAAUAAAAUAAAGCUACAUAAAAUAAAAUUAUUUUCCUGAAAGUUGUAAAAUGUCCAUUUUA